rnacentral:rRNA from 1 species
UACGGGGGGGGCAAGCGUUGUUCGGAAUUACUGGGCGUAAAGGGCUCGUAGGCGGCCAACUGAGUCAGACGUGAAAUCCCUCGGCUUAACCGGGGAACUGCGUCUGAUACUGGAUGGCUUGAGUUUGGGAGAGGGAUGCGGAAUUCCAGGUGUAGCGGUGAAAUGCGUAGAUAUCUGGAGGAACACCGGUGGCGAAGGCGGCAUCCUGGACCAACACUGACGCUGAGUGAGCGAAAGCCAGGGGAGCAAACGGG